AGUCGACGUUCACUGUUCUUCUCUUCCGUGGUCUAGAUCUGCGAAUCUCCUUCCUUUCGGAGAGGUCUGAUGAUCGGAUAGUUUAAAUGAUCUAAACCAUUUUGGGGGUGAUGAUUAUUGGAAUGUCUUUUGCUCCUAUCUGAUCUCCAUGUCUUUCCAACUAUACUCGAACUACUUCGAUUUUGAGUUGGAAUGAAUUUUAUUUUGAUCUGCCUUCGACAAAAGCCAAUCUUAAGCUCAAGAGAAACGGCGAGGAUCUAACUGCAGCUGAUCAGGUCCGAUCGAGGGAGGCUCCGCGGUGCUAGUGAUUGCUCGCCGGCGAUGACGGACUGUAAGGAGACGGAUGCAACUUGGAGAUUUAGUUCUUUGCAAAGUUAUUUGCAAACUGGAUGCAACUUCGAAUGUAGAUUUAACUCAUGUCAAUACGCUAGUUCAUAGCCAUUUAUGGUAAAAAAACAAAAGAAUGCCCCAUUUCACCU